AGGAGUAUAGCUCAGCUGGUAGAGCGUCGGUCUCCAAAACCGAAGGUCGUGGGUUCAAAGCCUACUACUCCUGCCA
rnacentral:tRNA from 1 species